rnacentral:rRNA from 1 species
CCUACGGGAGGCAGCAGUGGGGAAUAUUGCACAAUGGGGGAAACCCUGAUGCAGCGACGCCGCGUGAGCGAUGAAGUAUUUCUGUAUGUAAAGCUCUAUCUGCAGGGAAGAAAAUGACGGUACCUGACUAAGAAGCCCCGGCUAACUACGUGACAGCAGCCGCGGGAAUACGUAGGGGGCAAGCGUUAUCCGGAUUUACUGGGUGUAAAGGGAGCGUAGACGGCGAUGCAAGCAAGGUGUGAAAGCCCGGGGGUCAACCCCUGGACUGCAUUUGAAACUGGAUAGCUGGAGUGUCGGAGAGGCAGGCGGAAUUCCUAGGGUAGCGGUGAAAUGAGUAGAUAUUAGGAGGAACACCAGUGGCGAAGGCGGCCUGCUGGACGAUGACUGACGUUGAGGCUCGAAAGCGUGGGGAGCAAACAGGAUUAGAUACCCCAGUAGUG